UUCCGGUUGAUCCUGCCGGACCCCACUGCUAUCGGGAUGGGACUAAGACAUGCUAGUCGAGCGUCUCUAAGCUAUGGAAGAGACGCGGCACACAGCUCAGUAACACGUGGCUAACCUGCCCUUGGGACAAGGACAACUCCGGGAAACUGGGGCUAAUCCCUGAUAGGUGAGAACUCCUGGAAUGGAUUCUCGCUGAAAGGACGUUUAGACCAUGCUUCUAGGCGUCGCCCAAGGAGGGGGCCGCGACCGAUCAGGUUGUUGGUGAGGUAACGGCUCACCAAGCCUUUAACCGGUACGGGCCGUGAGAGCGGAAGCCCGGAGAUGGGCACUGAGACAAGGGCCCAGGCCCUACGGGGCGCAGCAGUCGCGAAAACUCCGCAAUACACGAAAGUGUGACGGGGCUAUCCCGAGUGCCAUCCGCUGAGGAUGGCUUUUCCCCAGUGUAUAAAGCUGGGGGAAUAAGGAGAGGGCAAGCCUGGUGUCAGCCGCCGCGGUAAUACCAGCUCUCCGAGUGGUGGGGAUGUUUAUUGGGCCUAAAGCAUUCGUAGCCUGCUUGGCAAGUCCUCCGUUAAAUCCAACGAUUCAAUCGUUGGGCUGCGGGGGAUACUGUCCGGCUAGGGGGCGGGAGAGGCCGACGGUAUCCCCGGGGUAGGGGUGAAAUCCUAUAAUCCCGGGAGGACCACCAGUGGCGAAGGCUGUCGGCUAGAACGCGCUCGACGGUGAGGGAUGAAAGCUGGGGGAGCGAACCGGAUUAGAUACCCGGGUAGUCCCAGCUGUAAACGAUGCAGCUAGGUGUUGGCGCGGCUACGUGCCGCUCCAGUGCCGCAGGGAAGCCGUUAAGCCUGCCGCCUGGGAAGUACGGCCGCAAGGCUGAACUUAAAGGAAUGGCGGGGAGCACACAGGUGUGAGCUUGCGGUUUAUUGGAUUCAACGCCGGG
rnacentral:rRNA from 1 species